AAACACAGCCACAUCACCCUGCAGCCCAAGACCGGUUACUCACUGAAGCUAAGCAGGGCUGAGCCUGGUUAGUACCUGGAUGGGAGACCACUAGGGAACACUAGGUUGAUGUUGGAA
rnacentral:rRNA from 1 species